AACGAACGCUGGCGGCAGGCUUAACACAUGCAAGUCGAACGGGUGUAGCAAUACAUCAGUGGCAGACGGGUGAGUAACACGUGGGAACCUUCCUAGGGGUACGGAACAACUCAGGGAAACUUGAGCUAAUACCGUAUACGUCCGUGAGGAGAAAGAUUUAUCGCCCUUAGACGGGCCCGCGUCGGAUUAGGUAGUUGGUGGGGUAAUGGCCUACCAAGCCUACGAUCCGUAGCUGAUCUUAGAGGAUGAUCAGCCACACUGGGACUGAGACACGGCCCAGACUCCUACGGGAGGCAGCAGUGGGGAAUCUUGGACAAUGGGCGCAAGCCUGAUCCAGCCAUGCCGCGUGAGUGAAGAAGGUCUUCGGAUUGUAAAGCUCUUUUGCCAGGGACGAUAAUGACGGUACCUGGAGAAUAAGCCCCGGCAAACUUCGUGCCAGCAGCCGCCGUAAAAC
rnacentral:rRNA from 1 species